CACAUGUGAGACACAGGAAGUGAUGUAAAGAACUGCCUUUAUAUUUUGCAGCACUUCCUGUAGUGAGGGAGCCUUGGAGCCAAUUGAUCCUGGAACUUGAGCCUGGAGGAGCCCCUCAGACAGCUUCCUUGAGAAUGUCAAGUGGUAUCCCAUAAAUAAUAAGAGAAUUCCACCCACGUCUCAAAGAUUUUUUGAAGUGUGUUAUGUCUUCUGAAGUACUACCCCAAAGCCUCAACAUGGCAUGGAAGAAAUCUUGCAUUCUUCUCUAUCAGCAGGACACUAUAUUUAAAAAAAAAAAGAAAAAAGUUUGUGCCCCAAGGAAUGGGACAAGGGGAACAAUUUGUUCUAGCAAGCACAAAGGCUGCUAAAGCAGGCACUGAAGAGAACUUAGAGCUUGGUCACAAAUCAAGGAUUCCAAGGCCAUCCACUGCAACCUGGCCAUUGCCAGUCCUCCUGACUUUGCCUUGACACUGGACUUCAGUGCCCCUAGAAGAGAGAAUGAGGCAGAUGCCUUUGUGCAACUUUGCCUCACUUACCUCCAAUUUGUAUGCAAAUCAUCACACUGUGAAGUUCUUGGUCCUAUUCCAAAAAUAAAGGAAAACAAAAAGCAAUUACA
rnacentral:lncRNA from 1 species